GUACCUGUAGCUCAGUAGGAUAGAGCGUCCGCCUCCUAAGCGGAAGGUCGUGGGUUCGAAUCCCGCCAGGUACG
rnacentral:tRNA from 1 species